CGCAACUGGCCAGAGAGUAAGAAGUGUUGUUUUUGUACUCAUGACGAGACAAUUAAACACCUCUUUUUCCAAUGCAAGUUUGCACGUUCUACGUGGUGAAUCAUCCAAAUAGCGUCAAAUUUAUAUCCGCCCACAAGUGUUGCCAAUAUAUUUGGUCACUGGUUGGACGGUAUUCCAAAUAAGUUUAAAGCGCUUAUAAGGGUGGGAGCGUACGCCUUAAUUUGGUCGCUCUGGCUAUGUAGAAACGAUUUGGUUUUUAAUGGAAAAAAUGCUUCUCCUCUGCAGGUUAUUUUCCGUUGUACGCAAUCGCUUCAUACGUGGUCUAUGCUACAACGAUCGGAGCACCAAUCGUUGUUCAAGGCGGUGUGUACGCGGUUGAAGCAGGUGGCUACGGAGGUUUUUUCCCAACAUGGGUGGCAGCAUAAUCUCCGGGUCGAUCCACCACCACCUUCGACAUAG
rnacentral:rRNA from 1 species